rnacentral:rRNA from 1 species
UACGUAGGGGGCGAGCGUUGUCCGGAGUUACUGGGCGUAAAGCGCUUGAAGGCGGUCCACCAAGUUUGGGGUGACAGUUGCCGACUUAAUCGGCAAAGUGCCUCAAAGACUGGCGGACUUGAGGGCCACAGAGGGACAUGGAACUCCAGGUGUAGUGGUGAAAUGCGUAGAUAUCUGGAAGAACACCAAAGGCGAAGGCAGUGUCCUGGGUGGUCGCUGACGCUGAGAGGCGAAAGCCAGGGGAGCGAACGGG